rnacentral:rRNA from 1 species
CCUACGGGUGGCAGCAGUGAGGAAUAUUGGUCAAUGGACGAGAGUCUGAACCAGCCAAGUAGCGUGAAGGAUGACUGUCCUAUGGGUUGUAAACUUCUUUUAUAUGGGAAUAAAAUGUUCCACGUGUGGGAUUUUGUAUGUACCAUAUGAAUAAGGAUCGGCUAACUCCGUGCCAGCAGCCGCGGUAAUACGGAGGAUCCGAGCGUUAUCCGGAUUUAUUGGGUUUAAAGGGAGCGUAGGUGGAUUGUUAAGUCAGUUGUGAAAGUUUGCGGCUCAACCGUAAAAUUGCAGUUGAAACUGGCAGUCUUGAGUACAGUAGAGGUGGGCGGAAUUCGUGGUGUAGCGGUGAAAUGCUUAGAUAUCACGAAGAACUCCGAUUGCGAAGGCAGUUCACUGGACUGCAACUGACACUGAGGCUCGAAAGUGUGGGUAUCAAACAGGAUUAGAUACCCGUGUAGUC